rnacentral:tmRNA from 1 species
GCCCUUGCGAAAGUGGGGGCGUUUAACCUAUAUAAGGGCUGUCGGGGCAACUCGACUAUGGCGUUACACGACUUGGCAGAAUAGACGUUACGGACCCGGGGGCGGUACCCGGCGACUCCACCAACUUUCAAAACUUUGAAUCGCUUUACUCGGGCGAGGAUGUUGGGGUCGAAAUAGGAUCGACGUGUGUAGUAAAAGCCUCUGUUGGCGCUCGGCAUGGUACCACCGAUAUCGGGCCAAUGUUUGUAAACGCAAACGAUAACAAUGCUCAGGUUGCUGUUGCUGCGUAAGCGGCACUAGCACCAUAGCGAAAAUUCCGGUUGCCGGGAGCGGUAAUUUGGUGGGGGACGGGGCACCUAGCAACAGAACGCCCCACU